ACUGUACAUGUUCUCACGAGCACUGUAUAAACCCCUCUGUGUACCUUUCCUGUUGCUUCCCCGCGGGCUCCUGCCGGUGGGGGAGGUUUACAAACCAUUGCUUUGCUAUGUACUCUGUCUGAACAAACAAUUAAAUUGUUA
rnacentral:misc_RNA from 1 species